CAAUAGCGUAUAUUAAAGUUGUUGCGGUUAAAAAGCUCGUAGUUGGAUUUUGGUGUUUGACAAAUGGUCUGCCUUCGGGUUUGCACUGUUUGUUGGCACUUCUUUUCUGGGGAACUCACUGCUCUUAAUUGAGGGGUGCUGUAACGCAGAUCGUUUACUUUGAAAAAUUAGAGUGUUCAAAGCAGGCCAACGCAUUGAAUACAUUAGCAUGGAAUAAUAAUAUAGGACUUUGGUUCUAUUUUGUUGGUUUCUAGAACUAAAGUAAUGAUUAAUAGGGAUAAUUGGGGGCAUUUGUAUUAACGCGUCAGAGGUGGAAUUCUUGGAUUGCGUUACGACAAACUACUGCGAAAGCAUUUGCCAAGGAUGUUUUCAUUGAUCAAGAACGAAAGUAUGGGGAUCGAAGACGAUCAGAU
rnacentral:rRNA from 1 species